rnacentral:lncRNA from 1 species
GGGCUCGAAAUCUAGCCAGAGAUUAGUGCAGCAGCCAAGGAGUAGUAGUAUUCAUACUCAGGGUUUGUUCAGCGAUCAUUUACUUCAGGACAGAUUGAUAGCUAUAGUGUUGUCAAAUUUCCACAGUGUCAGUUGUGUGGAAAGUUUCGCUCUGGAGAGUGCUUUAAGGUCAUUGGAGUUUGUUAUCAAUGUGGUCUAACUAGACAUAUGAGGAGAAAGUGUCAAGUUCGCCUUCAGCAGGUGGUACCUCACAGAGAGCAUCUUUACAGCCAGGUGGUAUCUCUAGACAGAAUAAGAACCAAAAUACGUUGGCAGGUGGAAUAGGUGCUACUAGUGCUAUUCAGUCCAAUGUUGCUGGCAGCAGUGGUACUAGAUAGAAAGGCUAGGCUGGACAUGCUAGGGCUCAGGGAGAGUUUUUGCUAUGACUCAUCAUGAAGCCAAUGAGUCACCAGACGUGGUCAUGGAUACGUUAUUUAUGUUUGGUCAGAAAAAAACUCGUUCUUUAAUUGAUUCUGGUGCUACACAUUCAUUUAUAUCUUAUGCAUUUGCAGAUUAUGCGGACCAUGUGUUAGAACUGUUAGAUAGUGAUUUAAUGGUAGCUACUCCAGUAGGAGAUUCAUUCUUAACUAACUGUGUGUACAAGGAUUGUGUGAUUAGAGUGAAUUAUCGGGAGUUGAAAGCUAAUUUGAUUCCACUUGAUAUUUAUGAUUUUGAUGUGAUAUUGGGCAUGGAUUUCCUAGCUGCAAAUUAUGCCUUAGUUGACUGUUUUCACAAAGAGAUAAUGUUAAAAGACCAGAAGAGCUUGAAAUUGUUUUUAAUGGUGAAUGACGAAUAUUACAUUCAUGUAUCAUAUCCGCACUUGAUGCUGGGAGAUUGCUUAGGAAAGGUUGCCAUACUGUAAUCAUUAAGCAAAUACUUGAUGAUAUAUCGUUGGUAAGAGAUUUCCCUGAUAUUUUUCCUAAAGAUCUUCGAGGGUUACCUCUAGAUAGAGAAAUUGAGUUUAUAAUUGAUUUGAUUCUAAGAACUACCCUAAUUUCACAACCACCUUACAAAAUGGCUGCAGCAGAGCUCAAAGAAUUGAAAGUUCAGCCGCAAGAUUUAGUUGACAAGAGUUUCAUUAGACCCAGUGUGUCUCCAUGGAGAGCACCGAUCUUAUUUAUGAAGAAGAAAGAUGGAAAAUGAGAUUAUGUAUUGAUUACAAACAGCUGGAUUAAGUGACUAGUUCAUAUUUCAGAGAGGACUACCAAAAUUUUUACAAAGUAUAUCAUAGACAAAGUAGGUUAAAGUUGUCUUGAUGGUGGGUCCGACAAUUAGUUGGUCUCUACCAUCGACGACGACACGUGUCGGGUCCAUUAGGGUGAUUCGAGACAGGUCGUGUCAAACACUCUCCCUAGCAGUGUUCUGAAUCGACUCAGAGCCCAACCCAAGAUGUACUGUACCAAACUGAACUUCCACCAUGAUACUAAACUUGUCCAAAUGUCUCAUAAUCGGUUCUCCACUCCUCUACAAAAUGUACAACUGGGAUCUCCUCUGUCCCUUCAGUACAACUCGUACUCCCUUUCAGACCUUCAAGACUCCACCUCCUCCAGAGAAUUUAUACCCUUUUGCAUCCAGGGUAUUUAGCGAAAUGAGAUUCCUUUCAGGUCAGGAACAUGUCGAACCUGAUCAAUUGUUCUAAAUAUUCCAUCCCGCAGCCUCAAUCUGACUCGACCGAUCUUAGCAAUAUGGCAAAAUUUGUAGUUUUCCAUUAUAACUCCACCUUACUGAACAGCCUCAUAUGUCUGAAAUAAAUUCCUAUCAGAACACAUAUGGUGCGAACAUGUUGAAUCGAUAAUCCACUCCUCGUCAGGCAUAGACUCCAUAUUAGAUACCACAGUCAACUUUACCUUUUUACUAUCUAAACAAUUCUCAACUACAUUGGUUUUCGUCUGAAUUCAAAGGUUGCGCCCCACGAUUUCAGUUAAAUCACCUUUAGCCCAUAACAUAUCGCAAUCCUUUCGAAUAUGUCCUUUUCUUUUGCAGUUGUAACAGGUCACAUUACUAAAUCUAACUCUCGAUCUGCCUCUUCAUCAACCACUUUGAGAUAUAAGAGCUUCCCCAUCCCUUGAUGUAGCUCCAACCAAAUGCUUCAUCUUCUCAUUUGAGUGCAAAGCAUCAUAGACAUCUUUAUAGUCAAACUAUCUUGACUAUACAAGAUAGUAUCCCAAAAUAAUGCAUAAGACCUAAGCAGCGAACACAACAAGAUCAAGGCAAGAUCCUCUUCAUCGUACUUAACCUCCAACAUCUCCAAAUCUGCAACUAUUUCCUUGAACACAGCAAUGUGAUCUUCCAAUGAUCCUCCUUCCGCCAUACAAUGGGAAUACAGCUUCUGCUUAAGUGCCAGUUUACUUGUAAGACUCUUAGUCAUACACAACUACUCUAGUCGCAACCACAAAGCAACCGUCAUCUUCUCCUUCGAGACAUCUUUUAGAAUAUUGUUGGAUAAAAAAAGAUGAAUCAACGACAUAGCCUUUCGAUCCUUCCGCUAUUUUUCCUUCGUUGUCUAUGCAGCUGGCAUCCUGUCAAAAUCUCGCAACGCAUCUUCCAAAUCCAACUGCGCCGAACAACCCUCAUCUUUACUUGCCACAACAAGAACCUUGUACUACAAUCUAAUUGCGGAAUAUCAUACUUCAACCCAACUAUCUCGAAAAAAAUCUCAACCAAUCCGCAUAAAAUCAACGGCCUCGUUCUAACACCAAUUGUUUGGUGCGAAAGCUCCAAUAACAUUAGUUGAUUCCAAAUCAGAUUUUAAGGAACGAGAUUAUAAGACAAUAUUGAAGUAAACAAGAUCACACAAUGAAAAAAUGUUUAAAUUGUAAAGAGGAGCAGAAGGAUUAACGCAGAGAAACGAUUUUAUUGAAUCAAUAAUAUGGAGAAUAGAAAGCAAUCUAGCAAUUGGCUUAGAACUGACAGAAGAGCCUUGUAUUUAGAGGCCAACCUUAUAAGAGUCCUAAAAGGCAAGAAAAUAUAUUAAAAUUAGGAGACCCAAUUUUAACAGGAUUUUGUUUCCUUUUGUUGGAUGCAAUUAGAUUCCAUUUCUAAGUAAAAGUCUAACGCGAAUCUUCAAAAGAAUCCUAACCAAUUUCUAGGAUUCCACUUGAUCAAAUUCUAAAUAAACAAUAAUCCUAACACAUUUGAGUCACCAACCCUAACAUUCCCAAGCCAAAGGGAACCAUAGAUUCAUUGGCAGUAUUGACGCAAAAGUUUGGAAGGAGAGAUAGUGACAUGAAGGUGAAAUCCUCCUGCACAUUAGAAAAAAUUGUUUGAGUAAUUAGCUAUAUUGUCAAUUCAAUUAUAUACUGAUGUUAAGGAAUUCUUUUGAUUGAAACAGAGCAGACUGCUUUAAGAGAGCUAUGGAGCUGAAGGAUGCAGAGGCCUUGAACAAAUAUGCAAACUUCCUCAGGUAGGUGAAGAAGGAUCUUUGGGCUGCCGAGGAAACCUACUUGGAAACCACUGAAUAAUGAAGUUUCCACAUGCUCAAACAUUUAGUGCAAUGGCAAACUUUUUGAGUUGGCUAAUGACGUUAUUAAAAUUAUUUAGAUAUACUCUACAUUUUGACAUAUAUUAUUAAAUUUUACUUAAUAUUUUUUUAUUUAAAUUAUGGAAAAUAUGAUUUGAUAGUAAUCACGUCAAUAAAUAAUAUAAAAUAGUAAAUAGACU